GGUUAAGAACGGACCUCCGUAACGAAUUAAGUACUUAACCCGAGAUAUCACUGUACAUUGGAGCACCCCAGAUCUGCUUGUUCAGUGUUUCUUUUGUGUGUGUUAGUAGUACAGUUCUGGCUAACAUUAUCAGGAGCACAUGAAGAUUUGAGUAGCUAUUAGUAUAUAUAAGUUGGCCAGUGUACCUGACUUUGUAGGGGUGACUCUUCAUAGCCUUCAUAUCUACAAAGCAUUUUUACCUACCAGCAAAAUUUGAACAGAUGAAACAGUAGACAUCUCUGUAGAGUGAGAUAAGCCAAUUUCUGACAUUCCAUUACACUCCCAAGUGUGACCAAGAACUGAUGGCAUCAUACAGAACUGAUGGCAUCAUACAGAUUUAGGGGAAGUCUGGAUUCUCAAGCUGGGAUCACCAGAGGGAGACAGCCGGUUUUACCUCUAUCCUGGUGCUGUCCCUGAGUACACCUCUUCCUUGUGUAUGUGAUUGGUUGCCAUCUACUCCAGCAUUUUGUGAAUGUUGUUAUGAUGAAGGCCAAGCCAGCCCUGUUGCUUGGCACCCUGGUCCUGUUGGCAAGGAUUGUGGAGUGGAGAAAUGCAAUGUGUGUCUAUACAGAGACCUCACAUUGUGAUAUGCUAACACCUCUGUUGUCGUGAUGAGCAUUUUGUUAUACCCAGAAAGUUGCUUACUUUCACUCAUACUCUUAUCAAUGAUGCUAGCUUCCUAACUAACAAAAUGGGGACUGUUGAGUUUUUUGUUGUUAAUGUGUGCUGUUUUAUAUUUAAUCCUUCUGGGUAUAAACUGGAAUUGAUGGGGAAAGACUCGUGGAGAGAGAAAAAAAUGCAGAAAGGAAACAUCUGCUCAUGUUGGCUUUGUGGCUUUGUGUGCUUUGUGUGACAUCUUUGUCUUUGCACAAUUUCUGCAGGAGAUCAGGAGGAGGAAAAAGUGAAGGCAAACAUCUUGGGGAUUUUUUUUUUCCUUGCCAGAACUAGGUAAUGGUUCUGCUCUGCUUCUCUUUUGAACUCCAAGAAAACUGUUGACAUUAUUAGAAGAAAAAACAUGAUUUAUGAUGACACCACAUGUUAUCCAAGCAAACCGUAUGGUUUUUUUUUGGGGGGGUAGCUUUUUAUGGGAUGAUGCAGUGAAGAAGUACUGAAUCACUCUGAAAGAGUUAUUUAACUGAAACAUCUUUGUUCAAAGUUAUUGGAAUGCAGUUGUAAUGAUUGUUUCCACAGAAAUGUUGCUCAGUGGCUCAGCUUCCAUUUCUGACCCCCAUACUAUGUGUAUUGGGGCAGGCUUUAAAAAUCUGUUUCUCUGUUUCUCUGUGUCAACCAUAUUUUAAAUGGUUGGUUGUAAGGAUUUGUCCAUUGACCCCAUGAACUACUACUAUAAAUAAGAACAGUAAAGUACUUUUGUACACUGAAAAGUGCGGCACUGGUGGUGAAAAGAGCACAAUGGGAAUAUAAUUGUAGUUUGGUUAGAAGCAGAAAAGGCAAAAGUAGGUUUACCCCGACCAUUGGAGAUUCUUCCCCGACCCUCAAAACACCUUGUUAGUUUCUAAGAUAUGUGACUGCAGGGGGCUUUCUCUGCAGCUAUAAGGACUAGAAACUUGACAUUUUUAAAAGUUAAAUUUCAAACAAUCAUAAUUCCAUUUGCUCUUCUUAUGUGUAAAUCUGCAUAUUUUGGUGUAGCCAUGCAAAACAGCUGAUGGUGACUUUGAUGUGGAUUGGUUUGCUGGCUAAAGUUGCUUUUUGUGGAAUUCCAUUUCUGUUUAUAUAUGCAACCAUCGGUUUUUAUUUAAAGCAGAACUAUGUUGCCAUUAAUAUUUUUUUCUGUGCAGUUGGAAAGAUAUUUAUAGCUGAACUUGAACUUGAUCUCAUUUCUAAAAUGCACUGAAAGCAACACCAGUCUUUCCUGCAGCAGCCCCCCUCUUCCCAUUUUGUAAGUAAUUUAAAUCUCUCAGAAAAAACACCUCCUGCAUGGCUUGUUAAUCCUACUUCUUUACUAGAGGAAUUGUUACUUCACAACAAAUGUUGAAAGAUGAGAUUUGCUCUGGAGAUCUUAAAAUGUGUGGCUUCUGUACAACAGAACAAAAAACUCUAAAGCAGAAAGAAAAAUAUGUAUGGAGUUUCUCUUUGUGCCUGUGAUAGGUGUGUGAGAGGGAUAGAGAAUAUUUUUUUGAAAACAUUUUUUUACUUAAAUCUGAUGGAUUGAGCAGUAAAUGCAGAAGGUAAUAUUUCUCUAUGAGUUCUUAUUGGGGGAAGGAGACUACACACGACUAUCAAAUCCAAACAAUGACAUGAGUGGCUAACCUGUGGCCCUCUAGAUGUUGCUGAACUAGAACUUCUAUCAGUGCCAGCCAGCAGGGCCAAUAGUCAUGAAUGAUGAAAGCUGUGGUUUAGCAAUGUCUGAGCCACCCCUGGCCUAGGGCAUAGUUAUCAUGGGUAGUAAAUCUGUGUGUAGGCUGUACCAUUUCAGACUUUUGUAGGGGUGGAUGCUAAUAUAUGCUGCUCAGGGAACAAAAAGCCAUCGGGAGCCAGGUUGGGGAAUGUCUGGCCCAUGGGGCGAACUUGACCAACCAGGUGUCCAAAUUUGACCCAUGAAGCCAUUUCCGUCAAGUCACACCUACCUGCCACACACACACAUAUGAUGCCAGGUAUGGGCAGGUAUAGACACAGCUGCCAGUGCCUAUUGGGAGUCUUAAAGUGUGUUCCUGACUGUGCAUUGGCAAGGGGAAGCACAUUUUGGCUCUGCCACCCAUCACUUGCCAGAGCAGGUGUUCCCAGAGCAGACUAUAAUGAUAAAAUGC